UACGUAGGGGGCUAGCGUUGUCCGGAAUCAUUGGGCGUAAAGGGCGCGUAGGCGGCCUGCUAAGUCGGAUGUGAAAUCCCUCGGCUCAACCGAGGAACUGCAUCCGAUACUGGCGGGCUUGAAUCCGGAAGAGGCGAGUGGAAUUCCUGGUGUAGCGGUGGAAUGCGCAGAUAUCAGGAGGAACACCAACGGCGAAGGCAGCUCGCUGGGACGGUACUGACGCUGAGGCGCGAAAGCGUGGGGAGCGAACAGG
rnacentral:rRNA from 1 species